rnacentral:lncRNA from 1 species
CGGGAAACGGCCGCCUUCACCCUACCCGGCCCGGGAUCCCGCAGCCCCGCCGCGCCUGUCAGCUCCCCGCUCACCUGUCAAUCCUCUCCGGGGCUGGCGGCUCGGGGCGGCCCGGGCUCCUGGCUACGCGUCCCCGCCGGUCCCAGGAGCCCGCGCGUCUCAGGGAGACUCGCUCAGCCCCGCCGCGCAGAGUUACAGUCAAACUCAUGAAGCAGGAUGAAGAGAGAUUUGGAAUCUUGAUGACCCUGUCAGUCAUGAGACUUGGAAAAGGAAGCAAGAAUCUGGGGAUUUAGCUCACGGCAGAGUGAUGACUUAACACGAGAAAGGCCCUAGGGUUCAUCUUCAGCAUCGUAUGCACAAG